rnacentral:rRNA from 1 species
CCGACGGUGAGAGGCGAAAGCUGGGGGAGCAAACCGGAUUAGAUACCCGGGUAGUCCCAGCCGUAAACGAUGUGCGUUAGGUGUAUCGGUGACCACGAGUCACCGAGGUGCCGAAGAGAAAUCGUGAAACGUACCGCCUGGGAAGUACGGUCGCAAGGCUGAAACUUAAAGGAAUUGGCGGGGGAGCACCACAACAGGUGGAGCCUGCGGUUUAAUCGGACUCAACGCCGGAAAACUCACCAGAUAAGACAGCUGAAUGAUAGUCGGGCUGAAGACUCUACUUGACUAGCUGAGAGGAGGUGCAUGGCCGUCGUCAGUUCGUACUGUGAAGCAUCCUGUUAAGUCAGGCAACGAGCGAGACCCACGCCAACAGUUGCU